GCCUAACCGUAAACUUUGACUUAUCCGCCAGAGUACUACGAGCAACAGCUUAAAACUCAAAGGACUUGGCGGUGCUCUAUACCCCCCUAGAGGAGCCUGUUCUGUAAUCGAUAAUCCCCGAUAAACCUCACCAUCUAUUGCCAAUACAGCCUAUAUACCACCGUCCAGCCCGCCCUUUGAAGGCUAAAAAGCAGGCAUAACUAUAACCAUAAAAACGUCAGGUCAAGGUGUAGCUAAUAAGAUGGGAAGAAAUGGGCUACAUUUUCUAACCUAGAAUACACGAAAAAGUUUUUGAAAUAAAACUUCGAAGGAGGAUUUAGCAGUAAAAAGAAAGAAGAGUGUUCUUUUUAAGCCGGCAAUGGAGCGCGC
rnacentral:rRNA from 1 species